rnacentral:rRNA from 1 species
UACGUAGGGUGCAAGCGUUGUCCGGAAUUAUUGGGCGUAAAGAGCUCGUAGGCGGUCUGUCGCGUCUGCUGUGAAAACUCAGGGCUUAACCCUGAGCUUGCAGUGGGUACGGGCAGACUAGAGUGCGGUAGGGGAGACUGGAAUUCCUGGUGUAGCGGUGAAAUGCGCAGAUAUCAGGAGGAACACCGGUGGCGAAGGCGGCUCUCUAGUACGGUACUGACGCUGAGACGCGAAAGCGUGGGGAGCGAACAGG